AUCAGAUGAACUUCAACUAAAAACCGCCACGUCCGGUGGCGAACGUUAAAGCCGGCUUAUCCUGUGCA
rnacentral:sRNA from 1 species